rnacentral:rRNA from 1 species
UUAUAUGGUCAAGUGAAUAAGCGUACAUGGCGGAUGCCUUGGCGAUUACAGGCGAUGAAGGACGUGGAAGUCUGCGAAAAGUUUCGGGGAGCUGGCAAUCAAGCUUUGAUCCGGAAAUGUCCGAAUGGGGAAACCCGCACAGGCUUAAAACCCUGUCAUCCACAGCUGAAUAAAAUAGGCUGCUGGAAGCGAACCUGGUGAACUGAAACAUCUAAGUAACCAGAGGAAAAGAAAUCAAUUGAGAUUCCCGCAGUAGUGGCGAGCGACCCGGGAGU